rnacentral:lncRNA from 1 species
UUUCUUUCACUCAAAAGAAAUGAGACAUUAAGAGUAUGAUUUCAAUGGUUCAAUAGAACCCUAACACGGCUACAUGGGCGCAUGGAUGAGUUCAAUUGAACUAAUAAUUUUUGACGCAUGACAUAAAUUUGUGUAAAAUUUAAUAAAUUGUUACCUUUUUGGAUGGGUUCAAUUGAACUGGAUCAUCACGUCCCUGCCUACUUCGCUCUGCUCGGUGCUAAAUUUGUACUCCAGGUAUUGGAUCUCAGGUCAUCGCCAAGAGGGACAGUGUCACAUGUCUUGG